UAUUUUGUCAAGUAAUUAUUUUUAUUUUGUUAACUGCUCAAGGGAAGCACUUUCUGUUUCAUGUUGCAAGGGGGACACUUUUACGUGUGACACAUGUGAUUUGGUUUAUGGAUGUAUUCUAAAGUUGUUCAAGACGCACAUCCAGCCAUAAGAAAGGCAUAACAUCAUACAAGGACUGAAAGGUGACGUUUGCAAAGGUAAACUCUUUUUGUUUGAAGGAACAUUCUUCUUUUUGAUCAUUUUUGUGUUUGUGACGAAGCGGACUCAUUCCCUCUUUGCGUAAAUGCGGCCAGCGAGUUCGACGGUGGGAUUGUAUGGAGUUAACUGAAGUCAAUAAACCCGUCAGUGCUACAAGAACCAUGGUCUCGUCUAAUUCCUGGAGGGAGUGAUAGUCGAACACGGACCUGCUCGGACUUCUCGUGCCCGCCAGCUCAUCAAGACGGAGUUACAGAUAAGCCACUGCUUAGCGUUAACCCUUUGAUGCAUAACCUGGGUCAAAAUUGACCCAAAUCCAAUGGAAAAUGGGUAUCCCCUCAUGUGGUCUACGCAUCAAAGGGUUACGGACACACACGCUCAUCCGUUUUUCAUGAAGACGUCUAUAAGUCAGACACGGAAGUUUGUGAUCUGAAAAGUGAAACAAGAACUGAAAAACGUAAAGGGACUGUGUAAAGCCUGAUACGUGCAACAGUGUUUUCAAGAUAUAAAGGGGCAUUGAUGCAAUUGAUAUUCUGCAAAAACCGAUUCAUGGUCAUAAGGUUAUUGUAUAAGUAAGAAGAUAAAGGUGUGUCUUGUUGAUUUUGUAAAGUAAGAAAGUAUGUGCACAUUUAAUUAAGUUUCAUUUAGAGGAAAGUUUUGAGUUAAAUAAGGAAAUUGUUUUUCUUUACUAAUAGUUCAAGAUUUGAAAUAAGGAGUAAUUAAUGGGUGAUUGAAAUAUAUGAUUUAAUUUAGUUUGCCAAUUUAAGUAAGUAUUCUGUGUAGGUUUUGUAUUUACCUUUAAGAUAAGGCUCAUUGUGUUGAAAUGUUUAGGAACUAAUUUAAGAUGUGGCAAAAUUGUGAAGAAACCCAGAAUGAAGUAGCUGCUUGUGAGCAAAUUGUAGAGCCAGAGCAGAUAGAUGAGCCUAAGACUGUGCAAGAAGUACAGUCUGAAGAACCUCGUAGGGGUGAAAGAUUUUGCACACUAACUGAAAAGGGAAAAGAACUACAAAAGGAAAAAAUUAGUGGCCUUCUACUCCGCUUUGACAACAUUUCCGAGUGCUGGAAAGCCCUGACUAAGUUGGCUAAAAAGGCUGUAGUAAGACAAGAUCCCAGUAAUCUACUGUAGGAACAUAUCACCACUAUUGAAAGGGAAUUAUCUGAUCUAAAUGUUGCUUAUGAUGAAUACAGAAGGAUUGAUAGCCCAUCUCAUGACAUGUGUCGCAAGCUUGACAACUGUACUUCAGUCACAAGGAUUGUUGUGCAAAACGCUCAGUAUCAAAUCCAAGGAAGAGAGGAGGAGAUGCUUUGGCCCGACGCUGGCUCUGUAUUCGCAUCUUCAACCUCCAGUGUUUCAGUUUCUCAUUGCUCCAUGGUAAACUCUGUUCACUCUAAUGCAUCAUCAAGCAAGAGACAAGAAGCAGCUGCAGAGUAUGCAGCCACACAAGCUGUAUUAAAGAUUGUGACUGAGCAAAAAUGCUACCAAGACAAACUGCAAACACUUGAAGCCGAGGACAGGCUAAUAGUUGUAGAUGCCCGAAGGUUUCAUGUUUUCGUGGCUAACCGAAUCCAAAGAAUUAAGUCCACCUCUGAUCCCAAACAGUGGUAUUUUGUCAACUCAGAUGAUAAUCCAGCAGAUCUUGCUUCAAGAGGUCUAACAGCAGAUCAGCUGGUCAUGUCAAAAUGGUUCAGUGGACCAGAUUUUCUGUGGAAAAGUGAGUUACCCACAAGAGAUGCUAAAGUCGAAGAGGUCGCAGACAACGAUCCAGAACUUCGAAAGGUCCAGGUGCUCAACACCAAGGCAAAGGAAGAAAGGACGUUGCUAGAUCGCUUGUCAAAGUUCUCUGAUUGGAAGAGAGCCAUCAAGGCAAUUGUUUAUCUUAAGCGCCAUGCUCAACGGAUCAAAGGUCUCAAGCAAACAACAAAGAAGACAACAAAUGUUGAAGAAAGACAGGAAGCAGAACUGUUCAUAAUCAAACUGGUCCAAGAGGAGGCGUUCAAGGGUGAAAUUAAAAACAUUAAGGAAUGCAAAGAAGCGCAGCUGAAAGACAAGACGUAAACUGCACCAACUGAGCCCGUUCAUAGAUGAGAAUGGUGUGCUUAGGGUGGGAGGGCGUUUGGGAAGAUCUGGACUUCACCCACAUAUCAAACACCCAGCUAUCCUUCCAAGAUCAAGUCACGUGUCUUCAUUACUCAUUAAACACUACCACGAAAGAGUAUCAUCAAGGAAGAGGACUGACUGUAAAUGAACUGAGGUCUAAAUGCUUUAACCCCGGUCUAAAUGCAGUUCAUCCUGCCUCACUCCAACACAGACCAGUGUCUUCACUCAGACUUUGUGAGAAAAUUAAAACUUGAGGCUUAAUCUUUAAAUUAUUAUCACCAUUGUAGGCAAGUUACGUUUAUUUAUAAAGCAUAUUCAAACCCUGCUUAAGCUGAUAAAAGUGAAAUAAAAAGUUUCACACGCACGCGCACACACGUGCCCUAUCACUGUCAUUAAUCAGCUAACAAACAAACACUAGCAUCAGGAGAGCUACCAGAGAGACUAAUGUUACGUUUCCUCACUUAAAAACAGAACAAACCUAGGGUAAUGUAGUGACUUACCUGCUGUUGAGCUGUCAUCGGCGACUCCAACGUGUUUCCAUUUCAGGUGCUGCAUCAUCAUUGUGGUGCUCCCAUACAUCAUAUCACUUUUGUAAAGCUUGCAUGUUACGCAUGUUUUUUGUUUUUUGAAGCGUGAAAUGCUGCCACACUUUUGAGGAUUUCGGUCUGACUGUUUUCUCCGUGUCGGUCAUGUUUGGUUGAAAUUACUCUGAAUUUACUUUCGCUUUGCCGCCACCUCGCUCUGUUUAACUUGCUCUACAGGUGGAGUUAUUUAAAAAAAAAACAAACAAACAAAAAAAACUUUAUUUCCAUUAGCCAGCAUUGACAAAGCUCUGCAGGUGAAGUAGACGCUCCGCGACAUGGCGAGUGACGCACUAAUCGCGCGACACAACGAAUCGAUAAUGAAAUUCGUUGCCAACGCUUUUAAUAAUCGAUUAUUAUCGAUUUUAUCGAUUCGUUGUUGCAGCCCUAGAUGCAGCAGAGCAGUUGCUUUUCACACCUACAACUGCACAACAUGCAGAAAAUACAGGAGAAGCCCUCAAGAUCCAAAGAUGGCAGAUAUGCCUGAGGACAGGAUGGAAAUGACACCGCCAUUCACAUAUUGUGGUAUCGAUUGUUUUGGUCCAUUCUAUAUAAAAGAAGCAAGGAAAGAUUUGAAAAAAUAUGGUCUCCUCUUCACGUGUAUGUGCUCAAGAGCUGUACAUAUUGAAAUGUUGGAUGAUCUUACAACAGAUGCUUUCAUCAAUGCAUUGCGUGUGUUCAUUGCAAUACGUGGAAAUGUGAGACAGAUGAGGUGUGAUCAAGGCACAAACUUUGUAGGUGCAAAAGGAGAGUUCAUGAAUGCAAUGAAGGAUCUGGAUCAUGAGAAGGUCAAAGAACAUGGCUGUGAGUUUGUAAUGAACACCCCAUCAUCAAGCCAUAUGGGAGGUGUAUGGGAAAGACAAAUCAGAACAAUUCGAAGUGUUCUCACAGCAAUCUUAGAUCACUCUGGCAAAAGACUUGACACUGCGUCGCUUAGAAUGUUUUUGUAUGAAGUGAUGGCUAUUAUAAAUAGCAGACCUUUGACAAUAGAACACUUGCAUGAUCCAACAAGUCUCGAACCACUCACACCAAACCACAUACCAAUGAUGAAAUCCAAGAUUAUUUCUCCACCACCAGGACAGUUUGCGAAUGAAGAUCUGUAUCUGUGCAAAAGAUGGCGUCAAGUUCAGUUCUUAGCAAAUGAAUUCUGGAUGUGAUGGAAGAAAGAAUAUCUUCUCAAUCUUCAGGAAAGACAAAAAUGGCAAAGGGAUAAGAGAAACAUCAAAGUUAAUGACAUUGUCAUACUUCAGGAAGAUGGUGCUCCACGAAACCAGUGGAAGUUGGCAAGAGUAACUGAGGUUUAUCCUAGUGCAGAUGGAAGAGUCAGAAAGGUAAAACUGCUACUGAGUGACUCACUCAGAGACAAUCAAGGAAAACACACAACUAAGCAGAUUUAUUUAGUUAGGCCAGUACAUAAGACAGUCUUACUGCUCGAAGCAGAAUGAGUUUGAAAUGUUUCCUUUAUAAAUUGUGUGUUUUAAUCUAAGAUGUAAUUUGAAAUCAGUAAGUUGUGAUUUGGUGGUAGUUUAGCUGCCAUAAUUGUUAUUAUUGUUAAGAAAUGCAUUUGAUAUGAUUUGCAUAUUUUAUUUUGUCAAGUAAUUAUUUUUAUUUUGUUAACUGCUCAAGGGAAGCACUUUCUGUUUCAUGUUGCAAGGGGGACACUUUUACGUGUGACACAUAUGAUUUGGUUUAUGGAUGUAUUCUAAAGUUGUUCAAGACGCACAUCCAGCCAUAAGAAAGGCAUAACGUCAUACAAGGACUGAAAGGUGACGUUUGCAAAGGUAAACUCUUUUUGUUUGAAGGAACAUUCUUCUUUUUGAUCAUUUUUGUGUUUGUGACGAAGCGGACUCAUUCCCUCUUUGUGUAAAUGCGGCCAGCGAGGUUUGUGUCAAAUGUUUACCUUGUUUACUUACUUUAAGUUUAGUCUCACCGCUAAUAUGCAUUUAUGUAUGUUUUGUAUAAAUUUGUGUAUGUUUGACAGUUCGACAGUGGGUUUGUAUGGAGUUAACUGAUGUCAAUAAACCCGUCAGUGCUACAAGAACCAUGGUCUCGUCUAAUUCCUGGAGGGAGUGAUAACAUGGAAAGCUGAAGUGUGGGAUUUUUACCAGACAUGUUUAUUCAGUGCUGAAUAAGCCUAUUGCUGUCAAUUAAAUCCCUCUGUAUUUGCCAGUAUACUAAAAUUAAUUAACUGGAACUAGUAUCAAUUAGUGUUGCGUGAACAAGCAAUGACUGGUCAGCAAUUAGGACUAUGGUGGAACCUUUAGAGGAAAACCCUAGGAAGGCUCUGUGAUGUGCAUUCAGAAGAAAUAUUACAGCCUUAAAAAUGCCUCCUUCAUAAGCACACAUCAGCAAUGUUAGUGUAAUUACUGUUGUUACCAGAAGGGGAAGACAAACGUUUCAUACUGCCUAUCUAGGUGCAAUUAAAGUUUGUCGUACCUAAAUCUUGCAAUCGCAAGUCAAUGUUGUACUUUUUACUCCCCUACAUUAAUGUGAAAACUUCAGAUACAGGAAAAAGAAAAUCCAUUAUAAUGUAUUAUGGUAGGCUAAGAUUUGACAAGACUUGAUUAAUAUUAUUGUUAGUAUAACAAGUACUUUAGUAGCUGAUUCACUGAAGUGAUUAUGACAUUAAUGUAUCACUAACUGUAUUAAUAUAAUUUACAUUAAGCUAACGUUGACAAUUUUGCUCAGUGAGUACUUUCACUUCCGCUACUAUUUUGAUGCCAAUACUAUAUUUCCUCAUUUAAUACAGGUUUUUCCUAAAAAUCCACAAAAUAUCUACAAAAUAUGGUAUAAAAAUGUAAUGAUUAUUAAUAAAAAAUUAAUAGCAUAGUUGCAUUAUUGCACAACAUUUAACGUGCACUUGCAUAAUUUUGGAUCCAAGACUUGUAAUAAAGAAUAUCGUUUAAACCUGACAAUGGCAACAUGCUGUAUUUAGUCAUGAUAAAUGAGGUGAUCUGAUUCAUAUCAGUCUAAUCUUAGCAACAAUCUGUCAGUGUUGGGAUGUAAUGCUCAAGAUUGUUCUCCUGCGAUUCAAACGAUUUCCUGCCUUAAUGAGGAAACCUAGCCUCGCAAUAGAAACCGUCAGUUUUCAUCAGAGAUUUUUGUGCACUGAAAGACGACUGAUUUGUCCAAAGCGUUAUUGUGUUGACUUCUAAAUGUCUUGACAGUUUCCUCAAAUCUGAACCUUUUUUUUUUUUUCCUGAAAAGACCUAAAGGAAGUAGAGUGGGCUUCCUCCCCCUGAGUGAUGCUGGGCCCCUAAUGACAGAAGCAGAAGCUACUCUGCAUAUUUUCACUGGUAGAGUCAUUAAAGGCACCAACAGAAGCCCCCCUCAGCUUAACCUCCGUCUCCUUGCUGUCCUGUCUGCUGCUCUGGAGGAACAUUUCAAGAAGCACAGUUACUGUCUGCAGUUACGAGAGUCUUCUCUCUUUAACCAGCAGUCAGCAAAACACUAAACUAUUGUACGCCAAAAAGCAUAAACAUGCAUUUUUAAGCCUGUCUUAAAGCAAUACUCAUAUGCCUACUUUUGCUUUGAAGAGAGAUGCACUAAAUCCACAGUUCUCUUUUUAUGUUAAAAGACGCUUUGAAGUUCAGUAAAGCUGAAAUGAUGCUUCAGCAGUUUGAAAAUGUGGCGAUUAUCAUGUAAAGUGCCUUUUUCUAUUGUCACUUAAAAUGGCUAACUCUGAAAUAAUUUCAGCUAAAGCUUGGGACAUAUUUUUUGGGGGGGAAGUGAGGCUUUGUCUUUCAUCUCUUACAUUGCAGUUGUAAUAUUCAGGGAUCACUUCACCAGUGAUGAAGAGAGGAGCAAUUACAGCUACCAAUAGCUCUUUGUAUUAUACAAAGAACUGGGAGGAAAUUUGGCACAGCGCCUAAUAAUUAUUUUCAUUAUCAACUAAUCUGGCAAUCAUUUUCUCAAUUAAUGGACCAUUUACUUGGAAAUAAUGAAACAUGCACAAUGCAAUUUCCUGAGGGGAUGUCGUCCAACCAACAGAGGCAGAAAUCACCAAAUUACUGGCAUGAUUAAUUAAGUUAUUUUGUUUGUAGAAAUCCAGCGUUAUCACUCGGCAACAGAAGAGUCUUUUUUCUCCUUUUAGAGUGUUUUUGUAUCAAACUUGAUCACAAACGGUCAUAAAAGGUUUUGGUCUGGAUCAAAAUAGCUCUUAGAACACAGCCUGUUGUAAUAUGUUUAGUUGUCAUGUAUUACUAUUAGACUGGGACACAUUACUCACAGUCAAAAGCCUAAAAAUAAAAACAGUUGUGUCUGUGUCUCAACAGUGGGAAUGUAAUUGCUGAUUAAAGAUGGCAGUAUGCUGGUUUGGGAGAGAGGUGCUUGUUUAAAGUAUGAGUAGGUAAACCACAGAGGAAGUCAGCAGUACAAACGGCUAAAAGUUGACAGACUGGAACCUCCACAUCUAAUAGUUAAAAUAUCUCAGGUUGUAUUUCAUUGAAGUAAGUGAGAACAGUUGUUGGAGCUUAAUGUGUAGAAUUUGUCAGCAAACUGUUUGUUUCUAAAUCUAAUUUCAGCUUGUGGGUAAAGGCAAAAGCCUACAGACAGCUUUUUCACUGGAAUAAUUUGGUUAACUUUAAUGACCACCAUAAAAGUUGGACAACAGAGCUCUGACAGCAGACUUAAAACAUCGAGUCUUUCAAUUAGGAUAUAUCACCUUAUUGGCCGAAGAAUUACCAGCAACUUUAGUUUUAGUUGAAUUAUGUAAAAUUCCAACAUUGUACAGUGAACUCUGCAAUUAUCUGUCUCUGCCCCAUUAAAUAACAAACAUGCAUUUAAUCUUAAAUGUGUAGGACUAAAAGAUAAGCUUUAUUUUAUCUGUAAAUACCCCAAAAACUCCCUUUCAUGCUGCUGUUUAACCCCAUUAAUGACACUCUUAUAGCAGUGUUUUUGAAUGGAUGUUUAUGUUUAUAACUGAUAUGGCAUUCAUGCAAAAUCUCAACACUGCUUAUCUCACAUAUCCCAGAUUAUCAGCCGAAUGACUCAGAGUCAGAGAAAGAAGAAAGCUCAGAGGGAGCGAACACCUGCAUGAUGUUAGGACCGACCCAUUACCGUUACCACACAUUGCUAAAGUGCAAACGUAUUUCCACUUAUACGACUGUAAAGACACGUUAACCUGGAUACAAGCAAAGGAGAGACACAUUAUGGAGAGCACAUGUAAAGGUUAUGGCACCUCCUUCAUGUUUUCUGGCUGGCUCCAGCUCUCUAAAGCACAAAGACAUGCAGAAUUAAGGGCUAGAUUAGAAACAUGUGGGGCUGACCUGGAAGACAGAUGAUAUGUGUUCGUCGAGGUCGUCCAUUUUCCUCUUGGACCGUAGUAUGGAGACCUCUGGAGACCCUCGGUACUAAAGGUCUGCAGGAGGAGGAUCAUAUUUGACUCAGGAGAAGAAAAACAGAAAAGUCUUCACAAACAGCGUUUUGUCGUCACAUGAUUGUAGCUUUAAAUUUACUCAGGGAGGCUCUGUGGGAAAAAGACUAAGUCACAUCUCAGUUUCAAAUCUAAAAACAAAUCUGUAUUUGUUCAGUAAAUCUCUUCUUUCGAAAGGCAGAAAACUACAGACACUGCUCUACAAAUAACUCAGUCAUGCUGCAGCUGCCUUUUUAAUUCUCUGAUCUGUUUGAGUAUCAGAAAGUUUCUGAUAGGGGAUGCUUAACGUGAGAAGACUGAGGUUUACUUUGUUUAAACCAGAGGUCAGCAGAGGUAAACGCAUCCAAAAAUGAGCCUGGAGGCAGGAAAGAAAGAACAGUGAUGCAGCACAGCAGACAGAGGCCUGGAGCUCGCAAGAAGAUGUAUAUACACAGAAAAGCAGAUUAAGGGGAAUGAGAGGCAUGUGUGUUUGCAGGUAAAAUCUGUUGACUGAGGGCUACUGCUGGACAGGAAUGAACUCACACAGCCUGACAUGACAGUACUGAUCAAAAGUGGCAGAUAUGGAUAGAGAAGGAUCAUAAAUUAGCAUUUAAACUAAUCAGAAGGCCUUUGAGUCAGCAAGUUGUUUGGGAGCAGAUGUUGAAGAGAAAAAUUCAGAUUUCAGAAGCUGCCCUUCUCUGACGUUACCCCAGCUGCAGAGACCUCUAAGAUGUCUUUAAUCCUAAAGAAACUUGGCUUGGUGUUCUUCCUAAAAUGUUUUAUUACUUACACUACAAUCAGUGUUGUUGUGACUGUUGGUUUUGAUAUUUUAAUGAACUGAUGAACGGACCAAUGACAGUUUAGCAUCUUGUACUGCAGUCUUGUCUGUGGUAGAAAGGAAAAUACAUUUUUCUUCACCUUCUUCUUCUUCUUCUUGACUUUCUUCUUCUUCUUCUUUGCCACCUUCUUCUCCUUUGGCCUUCUUUUUCUUCUUCUUGGCCUCCUUUUUUGUCUUCUUGGCCUUUUUCUUCUUCUUCUUGGCCUUCUUUUUCUUCCUCUUCUUGGUCUUCUUCUUGGCUUUCUUCUUCUUCUUGGCCUUCUUUUUCUUCCUCUUCUUGGUCUUCUUCUUGGCUUUCUUCUUCUUCUUGGCCUUCUUUUUCUUCCUCUUCUUGGUCUUCUUCUUGGCCUUCUUCCUCUUCAUGACCUUCUUCUUCUUCUUGGCUUUCUUCUUGUAUCCAGGUGGUAAACAGGCUUCUGGUUUUGGUGUCAGCAUUCUUCUUGGUCUUCUUCUAGGCUUUCUUUUUCUUCCUCUUGGCCUUCUUCUUAAUAACUUUCUUCAUUUAUUUGUUAAUACACUGUCUGAUGGCAUGAAUAUUUCAUAGUGCUCCAAAUCUGCACCUAAAUACUCCCCAACACAUAGAGGAUUUACUUAUUUACUCCAUUUGAAUUACAUUCUCUUAAAAAAUUACAGUAAUUAGGCUUUUGAAAAAUAUUUAUCAUUUAAAGUAUAUAUUUUGAUUUGUUUUGAUCUUAGUGACAGAGAAAUGAAUAAUAAACCGACAAUAAGAAUAAAUAGAUUCACCAGCCUGUCUUUGAUAUAAAUGAAGACAAAUGUUCAAAGCAGAUGAACAGCACUGGAUUUAUUUUCGUCAUAGAGGAUAAAAGUCAUAUGGAAAUACAAUAGAGAGAAUUACGGACUUUGAUCCAGAUCAUGUAGGAGAACAUUUAUGUGAAGAUAAUCCUUUAUUCAUGCUUUCUGUCCCAAGAUACGUAAAAUACGGGAAACUCAACAGCUGGGAGAAACACACGGGAUCACAAGUUUUCAUGUGGUUCAAGUUAUUUAAAAUCUGGCCUGAUUCAGCUGCAACUUAACGGUAGAAGGGAAGAAGCUGUACAAAAACAGACCAACGUAUUCCCAAAUCACAUGACUCACUCAGAGGCACAAAGUGAUAAUGCUUCCCAUGAAAACUCUGAGCAUCUGUGCAGCUUUACUGUAUGUCCUGCCCAGAGUCUGACUCACUUUUUGUCACCACUGAUUACUUUUUUUUAUAUUUAUAUGCAUGUAUAAACACAUAUAUAUGAUUAUUAGAAUUAAAAUACUCUGAUCGUUCUGCAUUCUUUGUUGUCUGUUCUGCAAGAAACACUGGAAAAACAAUAAUAGGGAAAUUUGUUUAUUCCGGUGUGGUUGAGAUUUAAUUUGUGUUUGUUGACAGUAAUAUUGUUAUCAUUAAUUAAAGAUGGGGAAAGUUGUUGCUAGUAGCAAUAAUACAAAUGACAUGUGGAUAUUGGAGAUUUAAAAUGUGGCUUCAGAUAAUUGGAAAAUUAAUUUAUUUCUCUUGUUUACCUAUUUGUUCAGUCACAGCAGUACACUGUUGAUGCAUAAAUUGUGCUAAAAGCAGGAAAGCAUUGAAAGCACACCGGUGUGAGGUGAAUGUAAAUCCACUUGCAGCUUUUAAGACAAGGCUCCCCAAAUGGAUAUUAGCAAAAGUGCUGUCGAAGAAAAGCUAGCUUAUCCGGUGAGAGAACCUCAUCAUCAAGAAAGAACAAUACUUUUACUGGACAGGAAUUCAGUCCUGCAUAAUGAGGAAAACUGUUGCAGGCUGUAAAGAAGGAAAAAAAACAGUUUGUUCACGUUCCAGCCAAGAGCAACAGAGGACGAAGAAGCUCUGAGCCAGAGCUGUGGAAGUGCUUAAUGUGGUGAAGCUACAGAGUCGUCCUGGGAACUUUUACUCAAGUACAGUGAUGCAUUUUUGCUGUACUUUGGCCGUUUAUGCCAAUCAAACCCAUCAGAAAUGUUCUUGGAAGUGAAAACAGCAGUUAGAAGUUGUAAAUGUGGCGUUGGGAUGGACGUUUCAGGAACCAUACAGCUCAGAAAUGGUGCAGUUCACAGUUACUGACUUGAACAUCUUUUUAAAUGUAAAUACUUCUUGGAUACUGUUCUGCCCAACCUUCAUAGUGGUAACUGUUUCUGAUUCUUUCUCUUUCUGCUCCUCUCCCCCCAGCUGAUUUAGGCAGUCCACCACCCACCCUAAGUCUGGUUCUGUCUGAUGUCUGAGGAAUCAAGUUUUUCCUCACCAUCGUCACCAAGUGCUGCUCAGAGGGGAAAUGGAUUUCUUUCUACAAUACUUUUCCAAGUGACCACAUGGGUGGAGCCAAGGCGGAGUCUGGGUGGAGUCAGGGCGGAGAGUAGGCGGGGAGGUGGGUGGCGGCCUCCCCCCUCUACUCCCCCACCUCCCUCCACCGCCCACCACACCUUCCCCCGCCCGACGAGUUCUUCGAGUCUCCACGAGUUCUUCGAGUCUCCACAGGUUUUCCCGAGUUUCUGGAGUUUCCACGAGGUCGGAGGCAGAACAAGUUGUCAUGAAGAGGUGUUGAAGUCGGCCAGGAUGGACUGAAUUUUUACAGCGACUAGAAGGAAGACAACUAGAAGAGCAGGUCUUUAACCACCAUCCAUAAAAUCCAUGGAGUCGGCUCCAGAGAAAUGAAGGGAGGUCAACUUUUAUCAACCUCCAUCCAACCUCCAUCCAGAUGUAUCAACUUGAUAUACUUUGACAGUUUUAGCACCACAAACCUUUCGUAUCACACUUUAUUAUCCUAUAUUAGGACUUUAAUGGAAUCCACCAGCAGAUUUAGUUUUUGUUGAGAAACUUUAUUCUUGUUGUCGUGGGACUGCGGUAUUUAAAACUGUUCCUUCUAGUUGACCUCAUGUUUCUUAGUUUUAGUGGAGAAAGUUAUUUUAAUUGUCGAUUAGUCUCUUAAAAACCAAAUAAUAAAUUGGAUUAGUCAAGAGGUUUAAAUUUCUUACUUUGUCAUAUUUUAAAUAUGACAAAAAAAAUAAAGUGUCUUCAGACAAUUUGACCUGUAAUUGGUGUUAUAUCAAUAAAAUUUAAUUAAAAUUAUAUGUAUCUUGUAAUGUUGGAGUAAUUCAGCCAUAUAUGUUGGAAAACACAUUUUCUUUGUCCAUUAAUCUGUUGAUUGUUUUCUCCAGUAAUUCAUUUCUUGUUUUGGUUUAUAAAAUGUCAAACCCAAAUAUAUUCAGUUUACGGUCAUAAAAAAACAAAAAGAUUUACAUUCAUGAUGCAAGAAUCAGGCAGUUUUUCACUUUUUAUCUUAGUUUAGCCAAAAAGAUAGUUGAUAAUGUGUGAAUUGUUGCAGCUUGUGAGCCAUAAAAGGUUUUAAUCUUUGGGGCAGAGUGUCAAAAAACAUUUAGAAACCAACAUCAACAAAACACCCAACAAAGAUUUGAACAUCAUUAAAGUGAAAUCCAACUUUUGCAUGACAAUGUCUAAUUAAAGGACAUUUAUUUCCAAUAUAAAUGUGUGAUAUUCAUCCUCUGGAGCUUUCUCUUCACAUCGUCUUCCACCUGGACUGGUUUAGUCGGGAGCAUGUGCAACAAACUUUUGAAAAACUGCACUUUAACAUCAAUGAAUGACACUGAAGUUUAAUCUCUACAUAAAUGAGACUGAGCCUGGAUGUGCUGCUCGGUCAUUAACUCCUAAGUUUAGGGAAAGUUCAAACAAAAGAGGACAGUUCAGAUAAGAUUUGAGAAUGAGCUUAUUUUGAACAAACAUCUCAGACUUUCUGAGCUUCAGCACCUCUAGCAAGAUAUUUUAACAACAAGCAACUCAAGAGAUCCAGAAGUUGGCGAGAGUUAGCUUUAGCUGAGCCAAAGAACAUGUGGGACGCUAACCUAGCAAACAUUUCAGACUUUUCUCAGUGAAUUCUGAGAAAUAAUUUCCUAUUUAAUGACAGAGCUACACAUCUUAACUCAGUCUCAUUAAAACAGACUCUAAUUCAGUGUCAUCCAUCCAUAUUAAAGUGCAGUUACCCAAAAUGUUUGUUGCAUGAGCUCCAACAAAACCUGUCCAGGUAGAAGGCCACUUUGACAAACAGGAAGUGGACGAUUCCAAGCAGAUUUAUAGAAGGGGGAACCGGACUGUACUAAGUGUGGUCGAGUAUAGAGGGGUGUUUUGUGGGUUUUUAAGGCUGAUAAUGAUUAUUAGUGAGACAUUUGGAGUAGAUAUUCAUUUGCAGUAAAUCAAAGUAUUUAAAACCUUGGAGUUAAACUUAGAAGAACACAAACUCUAACAGAAAACUUUGUUGAUACGUUUUUGUUUUGUUUACAGAUGUUAAGUUAAAGAAGUUUUAUUCAUGACGUAUAACCAAUCAAAUCACUCCAGAAGACAGAGUGACCACAGGUAGAUAAAGGUUCACAGCCAAAGUAGCGCCAUUUUUAAAUGUAUUUAUUACCGUAAAUCAGUAAAAAAAUAAAAUACUGAUAAUCAGUAAAUCAGUCAGCCCACAAUUACUACAAUUCUACAAUGUAUGUCUCUUUGCCUUGACUUAUUUGUACAGUAUAUGAUGGCGUUUUCUUUUUCAUACCAAAGGCUAUACUAUGAUGUUUUCUAAGAGACAUACUAUGUUACUCUGUUUGUUCUGGCCCUGGGAUGCUGCACUCCUCCUCUGUUGUUUUCUGGAUUGUACUCAGCUGCAUGCCUUCGUCCACCCGGCCUCCGUUGACUCGUCCCGCCUGCCGUCUCUGGAGCUGAAGCUGGAUUGGAACAGACCAAAGUACAGUCCAAUCACGAUGCCAGCUGCCUCUCAAAAGGCUCCUUCAUCUGGCAGGUGGCGGCACUUCUUCUGAGGGGAAGCUGAGCUGGCCCGGCAGAACUUUGGAGAUGUGUUCCAGUGGUUGGUGGAUGUGUGGGGAGAUAGAGAGGGACCUUUGAAUUGUUCAGAAAGGAAAACAGGGAACCCAUUGGUAGUUUUAGUUUAGGGUGCUACUGCAGUGUGUUUUUGAGCUUUAAGAGGUGAACAGGAAGAGGAUUUUUUUCUAUUGAUUAUCUUUUACUUUGUUCCUGGUUGGAAUGUCCAUCAAUGUCAAUGUGAAGUUCACUUUUAGUUCUGUUUAUUUAUUCUUGUUUUACUAACAACCAUUUGCUUUUAACCCUCUCACAUGUUGUGUUGUUGUAAACUUACUCUUUCAAACAAAUACUCGUCUAACCCUCUGGUAA